rnacentral:rRNA from 1 species
AUGCACAACACGGUUAAGAGAACAAUCCCCGACCAACUUGCCGAGCCAUCCACAGCGCCCAAUGACGCCGAGGUCACCCGCCACGAUAUCCACCGCAGCGCCGCCCGACCCCAAAGCCUGUCGCCGCUCUUUGCGGCGCCGAGCACCACGGCCCCGCCUGCCCGUCGACCACCAUACCCUCAAGCAGCCGCCGCUCACCGCACAGUAUUUGCCGUUGAAAUUCAAUCUCUCGCAUCGCCGUGA